UUUCAAUGCCUUUAUUUUUGCUCAAAUCCGUUGUAACUUUGCUUGCUUCAUUGCAGGAUCAUAUUGUGCAAAACUGGCAGAGUUUUGUUUUGUUUAUUUCUUCAACUUGUGUUCAUGUUUUAUGUUUGUUAAGAUUUUUGAGAAUAAUUAUGGCGGAGAAGAGAAGCAUAUAUAUGAUCAGAAGCUACAAAGUACAGCUUCUACUCCUGGGUCAGAAGUCACCAAAAGAAGCUGCUGCGCUUGCUUCUCUUCCUAAACACGGGCCACAAGUUACAGAGCACCGCAUAAUUUCCUCGCCAGAGAACCUUUAUAAUCUCCUCGCCCAGAGAAACACCCUAAAUUACUUCUAAACUGAACCAAAAUAUCUGCAGCAACAUACACCAGAUUAAAGUUUGAGAAAUAGACCAGGUAUCUAAUCUCCUUGCCCGGAGAACCUCUUCUAAUCUCCUCGCCUGAAUACCCACUGCAUCGACUGACUACUGUUAGAGAGAAGGUUCAGUCAGCCAGCUGUAUUGCAAGCUCAUCUGCACACAUCAGCUAAAUUUAGUAAGCUGUGAGAGUAACAGGUUGUGGUGUGAGGCCUAUAUAGUCUAUUGUAACUCAUUUUCUGGAGAAAGAUGCAAGAUAUUCUAGUUCUGUAACAAACUUUUCUCUGCGAAUAUACAUACAUACUUUUCUGUUCAUUUCUAUCACUUCUAUCAGCUACGUAAUAAUAUCAACAGAUAGAUGUUGAAUAUUAUGAAUAACAUCUGGAGAAGCAGCACGCUCUACAUAAUCAGCUAUUUUGGAGCAACAAGUACUGAUAGAGCUGAGGAAAUGGCGGAGGAAACCAACAAUCCUCCUGAGACGCAAGAGGUUGCAUCAGUUCCUGCGGCUCCAAACAACGUGAUUGUUGAAAUCAGUUCUCAUCCGGAGAAUAAUGCACCCGCUCCUCCUCCUCCUCCUCCUACUAAUACUACUACCCCCAACACAAGUAACAUUAAUCCUAACCGUCAAUUUCUUUAUUUUGCUAUUUUCAUUAUUUUGCUUCCUAUUCUAAUGAUUUAUGGCGCACUUACACGACUGUUCUGUUUUAUUAUUAGAGAGCGCAGAUUUUUUGCUCUGAUUUGCGCUAUUUUACUGAUUAUAAUACCUAUUAUCAUUGUUCCUGUCUGUUUAACUAUGUACAGACAUUAUCAUCAUUCUCAUCCUCCUCAUCCUCAUACAAAUGACCCGGUUAAAGUUGAACCUUCAAACGUUACUUUGUAUCAGUUCGAGGUUCAAUCUGAACUUCUAUACUAUAAUGCUAGCUUUGCACUUAAUAUUUUUAAUUAUCAUAAUUCAGCGCCAGUAGAUUUAAAUAUUAAUGUUAGUGUUUUAUAUCAAAAUAUAACACUAGAGUCAGUCAAGUUUGAUACAUUUUCAAUCAACUUUACCCAGAUGCAGAAUUUGAAUUUCACUCUAUCUGGGAAUAAUGCUUAUCUUGAAUCAGAUAGCAGUAAUUAUGUAUGGCUUUAUUUACUCAUCCGUAUCGAGCAACAUUUUAGUACCCAAUCACAUACAUCUAAUAAAGCCGACAGCUAUGAGGUGGGGUGCAAUGUUAAGGUUACCAAGCCUCCAGACGGAUACAUGACUGCAUUUUAUUGUGCCAUAAUUUGAUCUGCUUUGGCUGAUUCUACAAUACUCGUGAUGGCGGGAGAUUAUACGAAAAAUUGCGCGGGAUAAUGUUGACGCAGUUUUAAAUUAUGAACAUAUGUAAUAAUGUUUUUAUGUUAUGCUAUUGUAAAGACCUUCAUCUUUAAUGAGAAAUUAUUACUUUU